rnacentral:rRNA from 1 species
GCUGGCGGCAGGCCUAACACAUGCAAGUCGAGCGGUAACAUUUCUAGCUUGCUAGAAGAUGACGAGCGGCGGACGGGUGAGUAACGCGUAGAAAUCUACCUAGUAGUGGGGGAUAGCCCAGAGAAAUUUGGAUUAAUACCGCAUACGCCCUACGGGGGAAAGCCGGGGGAUCUUCGGACCUCGUGCUAUUAGAUGAGUCUGCGUCGGAUUAGCUUGUUGGUGAGGUAAUGGCUCACCAAGGCGACGAUCCGUAGCUGGUCUGAGAGGAUGACCAGCCACACUGGAACUGAGACACGGUCCAGACUCCUACGGGAGGCAGCAGUGGGGAAUAUUGCACAAUGGGCGCAAGCCUGAUGCAGCCAUGCCGCGUGCGUGAAGAAGGCCUUAGGGUUGUAAAGCACUUUCAGCAGUGAGGAAAGGGGUGUCGUUAAUAGCGCCAUCCUGUGACGUUAACUGCAGAAGAAGGACCGGCUAACUCCGUG